GGGGCUGUAAUGGUUUCGACGUGGUGGCGAACGCUGCUCUGUGAUACAGGUCGAGAGCGAGUCUUCUCUCGUUAAUACCGGACUCAAAAGAAAAGUAACUGCGAACAACAUCGUUCCUUUUGCUCGUAAGCAAGCUCUAGUAGCUGCCUAACAAUCUCUCAAAGAUUCGAGCGUCUGUAGUCUGACUCCGUUAAGGGCUACAGACCAACCCCCAACGGAUGCCCUAGCGAAGUUUCUCUGGUUAUUCGCUAGCUAAGACCUAACCAGUGCAUCCUACCACUCGGGAUAAUGGGUGGUUCCCGCCUUGAGGAUCAGAAAGGCUAAACCUGUGAAUGAUCGGAGGGUUAAUACCCAUUACGGACGGCAGUUCGAUCCUGCCCAGCUCCAUUA
rfam:Gloeocapsa sp. PCC 7428, complete genome.